AAGGGAGAAGGUGAUGAAAGAAUUGCUUUUUUAUUCACUUCAAGUACAUGUAGCUCCUCAAAUGAAGAGCUCGAUGUCUGUAUGUAAGACAUCACAUUGUGAGGCAAAGAAUUUGUUAAAGAAAUUAAUUAAAAGGAAUGAAUGGAGCUUGGUAAACAAUGGAACUUACAGCCUCUAAAGUAUGGGACCCUGAACGUUGUGCCAUUCAAUCUGUGGAGACUAUAAUGGAGUGAAGCCGAAUUUCUUGAACACCAAAAAUCAUCUGUGGCUAAGCAAUGCCUGUCAAUAUAAUACCUUGAUGUUAAAGAUCCAACAAUCAGCUAUUCUUAUCCAA